CGUUUUGGAGGCGGGGCUUCUUCUUGGCUGUAAAUUGUAAAAUUUGCCUCAGACAAUCUCGGGACGCCGAGAGAGAAGGCAGCUUGGCCUGGGAGCCAUUCUGAAGGCCUGGGUCGGAAGAAAGAAAGAAAGAAAGGGCAGCCGCGGCUAGAAGGCCCGAAGAGACAGGCUCCGUUUCUGAAGCAGAAAUGGCAAAGCCUUGUGAAACGGACGGAAGAAAUAAAGGCAAAAUUUUUGAAAAUUUCCACAGCUUUUUCUGAAGGGACCAGCGCUGAAUUCAAGUCAACGUGAAGAAAGAAACAAAAGGUCGAGAGACAGAGGACGGAAGAUGCUUGAAGACACCCUCGCAAGGACACCGCCUGCCUCCCAAAAAAGGUCGUUUUCAGGGUAAUUGGUGUAAGGGUAGGCAUUUAAUGUCUAUCUUUGCAUUAAAAAAAGGGUUACCUUUGCACACGGUUCCCCUCGCGUGUGGCAUCGAAGAAGUCCCACUCGGGAACGGACGGGUCCUCCCUUUGUUCUAGGCAGAUGAUGGGUCUUCCUAUACGGGCCGUAGGGGUCACAGCUUGGGGGUCAGCGGGGGGCCCCGCCCUGGCAUCGCGGGGGGCAGCACACAUUACGGGCAUUUUAAGAUGUCCUUGCAACUUAGAAAUAAAAAUAUCAAUACCUUAACUCACUUACUAACAUCCUACUAACACCAUUCUAAAUAGGGUACCCUGCCCUUUUAAAUAGGACUGUGUUCUGCCUGAUGGCAAGAACCAAGUUGGGAAGGGAGGGGGCCUCCUGGCCCCCCAUAAAAGGGCCCCCAUGGAAGGACAUUGCAAAAGGCCCCUAAGGUGUCCUGAGAGCAGCCUCUUGGUCCUCAGUGUUCCCCACGGGGCCAGGGCUGGGCCCCUCGCUCUCCCCCAACCCAUGGACCCUGCCGCUUGUAUAUCAUCCGCCCAGGGCCAACGGACGCCCCCUCCCUCCCCGGGCGGAGCUUCGAGGCCACACUCAAGGGGAGACCAGAGCCGUGUGCCUCAUGCCAACGCCUAGCACGUGGCAAACCUUUUUUUUUUUACUGCAAACAUAGGCAUCAUGAUUGUGAUUUUUGUUAAUUCCUUUUAAAUUUAAUUGUUUGUAUUUGAUAGCAUGAUAGGCUGGUUUUAUAUCAGUGAGCCGCCCCGAGUCCCUCUGGGGAGACGAUGGCAGGGUACAAAAAUAAAAUUAUUAUUAUUAUUAUUAUUGAUUCGAGGCACCUGGAAAAAGAAAUACCAGGAAGCAGAUAAAAUUAUUGUUAUUAUUAUUAUUAUUAUUAUUAUUAUUAUUAUUGAUUACAGGCACCUGGAAAAAGAAAUACCAGGAAGCAGAUAAAAUUAUUAUUAUUAUUAUUGUUGAUUACAGGCACCUGGAAAAAGAAAUACCAGGAAGCAGAUAAAAUUAUUAUUGUUAUUGUUCUUGUUAUUAUUAUUAUGUAGGACCCCCUUUUAUUUAUGUAAGGCCACACACCCAGGGGACCACUAUUCCUAAUUAAAGCCUGGUUAAAAGGGAUCCUCUAUUCUUAAAGUUAGGCGUAUAGAGAUCUCCUAUCCAGAAACUAAUGCGGCCUGCCCUAUAGAGAUCUGUUAAACCAAGGCGGCCUGCCCUAUAGAGAUCUCCUAUUUCACGUAACACCAGGCAAUAUGGAGAUCCCUGGUUUUUUUAACCGUUAAAUCCCUUACGUGGGGAUAUCCCUGGUUAUUUUAACCGUUAAAUCCCUUACGUGGGGAUAUCCCUGGUUAUUUUAACCUUUAAGUCCCUUACGUGGGGAUAUCCCUGGUUAUUUUAACCGUUAAAUCCCUUACGUGGGGAAAUCCCUGGUUAUUUUAACCUUUAAGUCCCUUACGUGGGGAUAUCCCUGGUUAUUUUAACCUUUAAGUCCCUUACGUGGGGAUAUCCCUGGUUAUUUUAACCGUUAAAUCCCUUACGUGGGGAAAUCCCUGGUUAUUUUAACCAUUAAAUCCCUUACGUGGGGAGAUCCCUGGUUAUUUUAACCUUUAAAUCCCUAACGUGGGGAGAUCCCUGGUUAUUGUUUUCUCUCCCGUUCCAUGUGCCUGGACUCCCGGAGGGCUCCUGCCGGACACCGUCUCCUAUCGGCCGAGAGGGAUCCUUCCUGUCUGGGAAGGAUCUGCAACACAGGUAAAAAGAAGAUUCCGGGAAGGAGAUUCUACAGCGGAGCCCUUAAGCCAGGUGAGACACUCCUUCCAGCCUCCACGGCUGCCUUGCACACACACACACACACAUGACACACACAAACACACACGACACACACAAACACCUACACAUGUACAGCUGGUGCCCACGGGGACUCUUCCCCAAUAGAUCGGGGACUCCCACUCCGGCGAUUGGCCAUUGUAAAUGCCUUGAAGCAGUUUGGGGCUUCCGGCCAAGCGCUUGCAAAGAGAAUCCAUUCAAGGUUGGACCCCUUUUAAAGGGCCUGGCACGUGGUAUUUAUUCCUGGCACGUGGAAAACUCCAUUUGUAAGGCAAACCCUCGUCAAAGGAGGUUUGCAAUUAAUUUAAAACCAGGCUUCUGAGGGACCCGCUGCGUUUAAAGCCAAACCUAGCAGGUGGGAACCCCUUCGGUUAACGUAAGGCGAGGGACCCUCCAUAUUUAAUAAGAUGCCUGGCAGAAUCUUAACCUAAAUGCAGGCCUAUGGGCUACAGCCUAUUCUGCAUAGCCAGGCAUGGGGGGACCCCAGAUUAUUAACUUGAGGCCUGGGAAAAGGAGAUUUUUGUAUUUAUUUAUUACAAUAUUUAUAUCCCGCCCUCUCUCCCCUUAAAAGGGGACUCAGAGCAGCUUACGUUAUAUUUACAUAUUUAUUUAUUACAAUAUUUAUAUCCCAACCUCUCCCCUUAAAAGGGGACUCAGCGGCUUACAAGUUAUAUUUACAUAUUUAUUUAUUACCAUAUUUAUAUCCCUCCCUCUCUCCCCUUAAAAGGGGACUCAGCGGCUUACAAGUGAUAUUUACAUAUUUAUUUAUUACAAUAUUUAUAUCCGGCCCUCUCUCCCCUUAAAAGGGGACUCAGAGCGGCUUACAAGUUAUAUUUACAUAUUUAUUUAUUACAAUAUAUCCCGCCCUUCUCACCCAACAGGGGACUCAGGGCGGCUCAACAAUAAGACGCAUAUAUAAAAACCACACAGUGCAAUAUAAAUCAUCACUAACUUACAUCAGUAUUCAUAAAACACAUUAUAAAAUACAGAUAGGUGUGUUCAGUUCAAAUCCAUUCAAGGUAUACGUGGACCCCCUUUUAAUGCCAACCUUUCCACGUGGAAAACUAUUUGUAAGGCAAACCCUCGUUAAAGGAGGUUUGCAAUUAAUUUAAAACCAGGCUUCUGAGGGAUCCGCUGCGUUUAAAGCCAAACCUAGCAGGUGGGAACCCCUUUGGUUAACGCAAGGUGAGGGACCCUCCAUUUUUAAUAGGAUGCCUGGGAGAAUCUUAACCUAAAAGCAGGCCUAUGGGCUACAGCCUAUUCUGCAUAGCCAGGCAUGGGGGGACCCCAUAUGAUUAAUUUGAAGCCUGGUAAAAGGAGAUUUUAGUAUUUAUUACAUUUAUAUCCCGCCCUCUCCCCUUAAAAGGGGACUCAGAGCGGCUUACGAGUUAUAUUUACAUAUUUAUUUAUUUAUUACAAUAUUUAUAUCCCGCCCUCUCUCCCCUUAAAGGGGACUCAGGGCAGCUUAACAAUAAGACGCAUAUAUAAAAAACCAUACAGUGCAAUGUAAGUCAUCAUUAACUUACAUCAGUAUUCAUAAAACACAUCAUAAAAUACAGAUAGGUGUAUUACAUACACUGUAUCAUUAGCAUCGCACAAUAUUAGCAUUAUAUAUUACUACAUUGCAUUAUACCACUAUACAGAAAUGUUAUUAGCAAUAUUACAUUUAAUAUAUUAUAUGUAAUUCAUAUUAUUAUAUUGUAUCAUUGUUAGUAUUAUAUUGCAUUAUUUAUUUAUUUGCUAGAUGUAUAUGCUGCCCUUCUCACCCCCAAGGUGAACGGCUUACAAAAUAAAUUUACAUACAAUAUUAUAUUAUUACCAUAGUACAAUACUGGCAGUAAAUUACUAUAUUGUACUAUAUGAAUAUAUGGUAAUGUUAUUAGUAGUAUUACAUGCAAAAUGUAAUACAUAAUUAAUAUUAUAUUUUAUUAUUAGUAUAUUGUAUUACAAUAUAAUAAUAUGAACAUUAUAUGUAUAUGCAAUAUGUUAUAAUUAUAUAUUAAAUUAUAUAUAUACACACACACACACACACAGUAGUCAUCCAACAUAAAAGGGCCAGCGAAAAUUUAUUUAUUUAUUUACAGCAUUUUACCGGGCUGGCCUCAAACUCAUGACCUCCUGGUCAGAGUGAUUUGUUGAUAUUUAUUUAUUUACAGCAUUUAUAUUCCGCCCUUCUUUCUCACCCCGAAGGGGACUCAGGGCGGAUCACAUGACACAUAUAGGCAAACAUUCAAUGCCUUUUAACAUAGAACAAAGACAAACAAACAGGCUCCGAGCGGGCCUCGAACUCGUGACCUCCUGGUCAGAGUGAUUCAUUGCAGUUAAUUGCAGCUGGCUUGCUUUCCAGCCUGCGCUGUUGGAUAAUAAGGAGGCAUUAUGGAAAAGCCUAUUAAACAUCAAAUUAGUUGGUGAUUUUACAAAUUAAGCACCAAAACAUUUGACAGAAAAAGUAGCUCAAUAUGCAGUAAUGCUAUGUAGUAAUUACUGUAUUUACGGAUUUAGCACCAAAAUAUCACAACGCAUUGAAAACAUGGACUACAAAAAUGCGUUGGAUAAUCCAGAAUGUUGGAUAAUCCAGAAUGUUGGAUGAGACUCUACUGUAUAUACAAUAUAAAUUAGAAUAGCAUGUUAUUGGGGGAGGAGCAUCUUGGUUCUUAGAUGUUUAUAUUAGUUAUUGAUAUUAGUAUAGAUAUGACAUUGAGUAUAUUAUUAUCCUAGCACAAUGUUAUUACAUAGGACUAUGUUGUUGCGAGGGGGAGGGCCCCCCCACUGAGAUCCCCUGUCAUUAAUGUGUCAGACCAGGCAUUUCACUCCUACCUUUGCAUCAGAAAGCAGGCUCCCUGUGCGCUAGGCCUUCCUUUGAGGAACACAUUCACGGCUCCGCUUGAGUGUGGCAUUGAGGCCCCACUCGGGGACGGGCGGGUCCUCCCUUUGCCCUGGGCAGAUCGUGGGGGGUGGGCGGAUCUCCCUAGACGGGCAGGGGGUCGCGGCUGGCGGGACAGCGGGAUAUAAAAAUAUAAAUAUAUAUAUUAAAACCCUUGCACCCAAGGAAACAACUCUGGGGACCCGAGCGGCUGCUCCCAGCUCACGUCACGGGCAUUUUAAACAUCUCGUAGCAGCUCAGAUUAAUACCUGAACUAACCUUAACCUGCUAACCCUACUAACCCAAUUCUUAACUAGAGCAGCACUUGUAAAUAGGGCUGUUUUUGCCUGUUGGCAAGAACCAAGUUGGGAGGGGGCCUCCGGGCCUCGGGUGGGAAGAAGGCCCCUCUGUCCCUGCCCUGCGCUGGGAGCGCCCCCCCUCGGGACCCCAGUGUUUAGGUCGCCGGAUUGGAGGAGAGCGGGGACCAGAAAGCCCCUCCGCCAUCCGCCCAGGGCCAAUGGACGCCCCUCCCUCCCUCCCUCCCCGACAGCCGCGUUCCUCAUGCAACAGGGAGCCUGGUUCUGGAUGCAAACGUGGGACCCCCUUAGGACCCCCUUUUCUCUGUGCAGGGACCUCCACUCCCCAUAAAUAAAUGCCUGGUGGAAGGGGAUCCUCUGUCCUGGGGAGAAAAAGCGACAUGCGUCAAGCUGUGGCUUUGCUCCCGCAGUUCCCAAGAGCCCCCAAAAGCGAGAUGCUCCCUUGGUUCUGCCCUUCUGACACUUGUUUUCUCCCUUGUUCCAUGUCUCCGGAAUCGCCGAGGGAGGGAGGGAGGGAGGGGCUCCUCCUGGACAAGAGCCACGGACGGACGGACGGACAGACGGACGGAGAUCACGGAGAGCAGGACGCCCUGCCUUUCCGGAUGCUGAGCUCGACCCCUUUCCAACAAUGUCAGCGUUUAAGAAUAAAACUUCCCAAAAAAAGGUGUUUUCUGGUUAUUAUUCAAACAUUGAAUUUUUGGCAGCCUUAAACAUCUAGAUUACAAUACAGUUUGUGCUGCUGCAUUUUACAAACCUGACCUUGUUUUCUACAAAUAAAGUUGAGAGAAACACCUGUGUAAGUUUUGCACUAGGCUCAGACUCAUUGUUCUGAUAGGCUGUUAUAUGGUUAUUAUUGAAAGGCAUAAUGUUUUUGGCAGCAUUAAACAUCUAGAUUACAAUACAGUUUGUGCUGCUGCCUUUUAUAAACCUCGUUUUCUACAAAUAAAGUUGAGAGAGAAACACCUGUAUAAGUUUUGCACUCAUUGUUCUGAUAUUCUGUUAUAUGGUUUUAUUGUUAAUAUUGUUUUUAAUGUAUGACUAUUACAUGUGACAUGGGAGCAGGAUAUAAAAAUGAAGUAUUAAUAAACACCACAAUUUUCUUGCACCCCAAGUACAUCUGGCCAUUGCCAAAAAGUAUUUAACUCUGCCUACAUGGCACUAAAGUGUAUUUAUAUGUUGAUUUGUUUCUAUUGAUUGUAUGUAAUGUUUGCUUUAUUUGCAUUGAAUUUUUGCCUAGAUGUAUCUUGUAUGCCGCUCAUCUCCAUAAAUGAGCGGGAUACAAAUGAGGUUAAUAAUGUUACGAAUGUUUUAAUGUAACUCGAAUUUUAAAUUGAAUUGAAAUGUGAUUGUAAUUGUUUAUAAGUGUGUUAUCUAUUUGUCAGCCACCCUGAGUCUCCCCUUAUUGGGUGAGAAGGUCUGGGAAGAAAUACUGUCAUAAAUAAAUAAAAUAUUCUGUGUCCAGGUUGCUUCAUGGGUUGACUUCUCUGGCAGGAUUAGUCUGCAGGGCCUUUCCUGUGGGCAAGUUUACACGGACUACCAAGCAUGGAGCAGGGAAGGCACUGCAGACACUCCUGCGCAUGCGCGGGCUGCUCCCUAUUCGUAUGAACCUGGCUCCGCCCACUACAGGCAUUUUCUCUUCGACUGCGCGGCCUCCAUAUUUGAGGGAACUUGGCCCCGCCUACUACAGGCACCCCUUUCCCUUCUGCGGCUGCGCGGCCUCCGUCACAGGGCGGCAAGAUGGUUUCCCGGCCCGCAGUGGCCCAUGUAGAUGCUGGACUACGGCGGCCUCAAUGUUCCGCUUCCGGGAGCCAUGAAUUAUUCGGACCUCAGUUUCUGAACCAGAACCUCCGAACAAAACAAAACAAAAGAAAUAAUGAACGGUGUGUAAUUUUCGUUUGUACAAAGUGUAUAUUAUUCCAAUAUGUAUUGAUGCCUUUCAGUGUUUCCAAUGAUUUUUACACUAUAUUCCUGCCGCCAGGGCCUUUUUAAAUAAAAAAAGAAUAAGAAGGGUUGCCUUGCUCUGAAAAAUCAAA